rnacentral:rRNA from 1 species
GAUGAACGCUGGCGGUGUGCCUAAUACAUGCAAGUCGAGCGGUAAGGUCUCUUCGGAGAUACACGAGCGGCGGACGGGUGAGUAACGCGUAAGAAUGUACCCCAAAGUGAGGGAUAAGCACCAGAAAUGGUGUCUAAUACCGCAUAUGCUCUUAGGAGUAAAGCUUCGGCGCUUUGGGAACAGCUUGCGUAUGAUUAGCUAGUUGGUAAGGUAAUGGCUUACCAAGGCGACGAUCAUUAGCGGGUCUGAGAGGAUGAUCCGCCACACUGGGACUGAGACACGGCCCAGACUCCUACGGGAGGCAGCAGUAGGGAAUUUUCCACAAUGGGGGCAACCCUGAUGGAGCAACACCGCGUGCAGGAUGAAGGCCUUCGGGUUGUAAACUGCUUUUGUCUAUGACGAAUAUGACGGUAGCAGACGAAUAAGGAUCGGCUAACUACGUGCCAGCCGCCGCAGUAA